UGUAUAAAGGUUCCAUACCACCCCAGUCUGAUCACUAUGACAGAAAGAUAUUUUCUGGGCUGUG
ensembl:snoRNA SNORD31 Small nucleolar RNA SNORD31